rnacentral:rRNA from 1 species
AUUGAACGCUGGCGGCAUGCCUUACACAUGCAAGUCGAACGGCAGCACGGGUGCUUGCACCUGGUGGCGAGUGGCGAACGGGUGAGUAAUACAUCGGAACAUGUCCUGUAGUGGGGGAUAGCCCGGCGAAAGCCGGAUUAAUACCGCAUACGAUCUACGGAUGAAAGCGGGGGACCUUCGGGCCUCCCGCUAUAGGGUUGGCCGAUGGCUGAUUAGCUAGUUGGUGGGGUAAAGGCCUACCAAGGCGACGAUCAGUAGCUGGUCUGAGAGGACGACCAGCCACACUGGGACUGAGACACGGCCCAGACUCCUACGGGAGGCAGCAGUGGGGAAUUUUGGACAAUGGGCGAAAGCCUGAUCCAGCAAUGCCGCGUGUGUGAAGAAGGCCUUCGGGUUGUAAAGCACUUUUGUCAGGAAAGAAAUCCUUGGCACUAAUACGGUCGGGGGAUGACGGUACCGGAAGAAUAAGCACCGGCUAACUACGUG